AAUUAUUUGCAGCUUUAUGUAAAUAUGAAUCAUGUAAAGAGAGUUCAUGGAAUGUUCCACAGAUCUAUUACAACAACAGCACUGUGUUUGAAGAAACCACAAGUGGCAGCUUUGGCUAGGAAAGCACCCCGAACUUGUGAUCCUGAUUUCACUAGAUGCAGAGGGGCAUCUCCUUUAGAAGGGGAAGAAGAUCCAAUCCUAGGACCUGAUGAAGAUUAUCCAGAUUGGUUGUGGGAAAUUGCUGAUACCUACAACAUGCCCAUUGACGAGCAUCUUCAGAAGCCAGAUCAUAAUCUGUUUACCAAGAUAAAUGACUUUAGAAUGAACAUGAACAACAGGGUCAUGAAGCUGAGACACAAACACCCAGACUUAUACAGUCAGUUGAAGUUCCCAACGGAGGACGAAAUUAUUGACGAGAUAAGAGAAGUGGAAGCAAGACGGAGGCCAAAUCUGGCAGAAGGCCAGGCUUUUGCUUUGGAUUUGAGGGAAAAAGCUGCAACUGAGAUUGGAGGCAGUAAAGGUGGCUUGAAACCAGAGCGCAUGGAGGAGGAUGCAUUGAAUUAGAUCUGUGGAAAAGAAGAAAGUGUGAGCAAUAAUACUGUAAAUAAUGCAGUGAGUAACAAGAUUUGCCAGUGCAAUAGAAGAAUGGAACAACAGAAACUUGCGAUUAUUAAAGUUUAAAGAAAUAGAAACAUCCCAGAUUAUAAUAUCAUGUACCUAAAUAUAAGGAUUUAGGACUUUCUAUAUAUCCACUAACUAUACUUACGUACUUCAUAGAUCAUUAAUUUAUUAUUUAUGACAUGAUGGUAUAUUUAUUGCUCUAUAGUCGAUACUACAGUAUACAAACUAUACAUAUAUUGAAGUUUUAUUCAGUAUACUAACAAGCUGGUUUUACUAUGAAAAUCCUGAAUUAUCAUGUCUUGUACAUUAAUGUAAAUUGUACAAGCACUCAAGGUUCUUUAGUAGUGUCCAUUCAAAAGUUCACUGUACUUAAGUGUGAAUCAGAAACCCAAAUCUUUUAGCUUAAUUAACCCAAAGAAUCCGAGUAAAUCAGGGCUUAACUAUUGGAAUUACUGUUUUACAUAAGAUAUUGAACGUUGUGGGUUUGAAAGGUUACAUUAUAAUAACGUAUACAUAAUACAUAUUACAUAUCAUAUACUUUAUGUAUAAUGCUGUCUUAUCUCUAGAUAGAUGUAUAGAACAUGGUUGAAAUUUCGAUUCAAUCCAACUUAGAUAAAAUGACUGACGAAGAAGCAAAGAUAAGAUUUGAGCUGGCGUGCAAUGACUACAUCAGAGAACCGAAUAAGGAAGCAUUCGAAUUUGUGGCUGAGAAUGGUCACAGAUUCUCAAUACUGCAAUUUGUUCAGCUGCUUCAGCAGCAUAUUACCUCUAAAGUUGAUGAUGUCCGACUUAAUGCUAUUACUUUGCUAGUGGACGUGUCCGUCAAGUCUAAACUUAACGAUUCUGAAGUGGUAGUUCUAAUAAAGUAUCUGUGCGGGAGACUCUCAGAGAAGUACAGCAUAGUUCCCAAGAUACUGUCAGGACUGACAGGCUACGUGAAGGAGAGAGAAGUGGACUCUAGCACUGCUUGUUUGAUAGCUAAAGAGUUAGCUCAGUCGGUUGAUGUUCAGGCACUACAUCAGGACACAAGACACAAGGCAUACACCCUCGUAUACUCCCUAUUACACUGCAACUUACUCAGUUUACUGGAAGGAAUGAACAAUGAGUUUGUUGUGAGUUACAUUAAUCUGAUCGAUGGAGAGCAGGACCCGCGGAAUCUGAUGCUGAUAUUUAACAUGACAGUAAUUGUACUUCAACACUUCAACCUUGAUAAUAUUGAAGAAACACUAUUUGACGUUAUAUCCUGUUACUACCCUAUUGAUUUCACCCCACCGGAUGACGCUGAUGUAAAAGUCAGUCCAGAAGACCUGAGAGGCAGACUUAACAACUGCUUUAAAGCUAACAACAAACUGGCUAAACACGCUAUCCCCUUCUUACUGGAUAAGUUUACCAGCUCUGUUAUGCAGACCAGAAUUCAGAGUUGUGAAACGUUGAAGUUAUGUAUAACGUCGUAUGGUAUCGGAUGUACUGAAGAACACCUAAUUCUUAUUUGGAACGAUGUGAAACAGGAAAUAUUUGGAGGAGUUAAUAGAGACUUACGUGAAAGGUGUCUAGAAGUAAUAUCCUCGCUGUUUUGGGUGCUGACUAUUCCUAAUGUGAAGAACAAAUCUUUAGAUCCGUCUCAGUUCAUGGGUGUGGUGUUUGAUUACUGCAAAGAGAAACUUAGUUACAGUGAAAUUAAGUAUCUCCGACCUACAGCGUGUAUUCUUACUGCUAUCGUUAAGAGUUCAGGAGCAGGAAGCGGUUUGGUAGCAGAGCAUUGCCUGGAUUGGUUUACAGACCGAUUUCUAGAGCACACAGAAGCCAAUGUGAAGCAGAUAAUAUUAGAUGAAAUGGUAACUUUACUGGGAGAUAUGCAGUGUGAACCUGCUAGAGCCACAGCCGCUGUUAACCACUUUCAGUGGAAAAAAUUAGAAGGUAUGUUUCUGGGUGUUAUCUCUGAUAAGCAGUCUCGAGAGUUAUGCAGUUCUGGGCUAUUUGCUAUCAGUCAACUUCUCAACAUUUACCAUGCAACAGAUAAGCACAAAGAAGAGGACCCAUCUCUGAACAUAGAAUUAGUAGUUCUAGGAGUGUACGAGCUCUUAUCAAGUUCAAAUGAUGAGGACGGGUUACAAAUACUAACUGUUAUCAGCAGAGAGUAUCCUGACCUGGUUAACAAACUAUUGCUGGAUAAGCUACUGAGUCAGGUAGAUGAAGGAGACAGUUCAGCGAGGAGGAUGUUGUCGCGAUUGUUGGUGGGGAGGCUGCUAGUUCAACACUCUCCCAGACUAGUAAACCUGCUGAUUGAGCGGGGACACGUUGAGAUCAUAUCCCUCUUCACUGUUGCUUUAUCUUAUCAGGAGUCCAGUGAAGUGAUAACGUUUUGUCAGCAGUUUAUAUUCAACCAACUACUCAACUACCUCAUCCAACUCUCUAUACAAGAACAGGACAUUGAAAAGGCUGUUCUUCUAUUUCAGGAGUUCACAGUAGCCCUGUACAAAAACAGAUCACCUCGCCCUGUGGAUAUGACUGUGUUUACACAGACCUUCACAAGUAGUGCUGUAUUCCAGCCCUUCUCUAGCUCCUCUUCACACCACCAGACAAUGCUGACAGCUAUCUACUCUGCUGUUCUAAUGUACGGAUCACUUGACUCCACCUUUGAUCCGCUGAUGACUCCCCUAGAUCUGGAACAUGUACUGAAGUUAGCUUGUGUGUCUACUGAUCCUCUUACUGUACAGUCCUUAGCUGCUGUAAUUGGCCUCAUGAUCAACAGAAUGGACGAAGGACGACAUUUAGAGGAAUUGAAGACUCGUGUGUUUGCAGAACUGGACUCAUGUGAUCUGACUAAUAACAAAGUUUGGAUCUGUAUCAGAGUAUGUCAGGGGCUAGUUUACCGGUGGGAUUCUUCAGCUGAACGAGCUGUGAAACUAUUUGUGGAAUGUUUAACAAACAAACAAACGCACUCUCACACUGCCCACUUGACCUGGCAUGUGUUGGAACCUAUUUAUCAGGGUAACAGAAUGGUGUUACACAAACAGAGGUUCCUGCUUACUCUUAUCCCCCUGAUAACUCCUUACAUCAGUAAUCCGGUCCUACUUUCUGGAGAGAUAUCGAGCUCCCUGGUGCGAGGUAUUGGGACCCUGCUGCUGGCCCUCCCCCAGUCCCUGGUCAGUACCCACGGAGACACACUCUACCCCGUAAUCCUCAACAACCUCUCCUCCUCCACCUGCGAUACAGCUGCUCUCCAUCUCGUACAAUAUCUUCUCACCAACACUCCCGGUAUCAUUAUAAUGCACUUAGAUACCCUAGUUAAGCAGCUGUGCGCACUGAGCGCAUCGUGCGCUGUGUCAGUGCGCUGUCGUGUGGAGGCAGUGAAGACGCUGCAGAUGUGCACAACACAGCUGCAUCAUAAACACACACACGUACAGAGGGAGUAUGUAAUGAAACAGCUGAGGACAGUGCUGGGGGAUAAGAAGAGGGUUGUAAGAUUGGCGGGGGCUGAGACUCUUCAAAGCUGGGUCAUGUUACAACCUUGAUUACAAGCUGGUUACUAGGUUACUGGCUGGUUACUAGGUUACUGGCUGGUUACUAGGUUACUGGCUGGUUACUAGGAUACUUGCUGGUUACUAGGUUACUGGCUGGUUACUAGGUUACUGGCUGGUUACUAGGUUACUGGCUGGUUACUAGGUUACUUGCUGGUUACUAGGUUACUGGCUGGUUACUAGGAUACUGGCUGGUUACUAGGUUACUGGCUGGUUACUAGGAUACUUGCUGGUUACUAGGUUACUGGCUGGUUACUAGGAUACUUGCUGGUUACUAGGUUACUGGCUGGUUACUAGGUUACUGGCUGGUUACUAGGAUACUGGCUGGUUACUAGGUUACUGGCUGGUCACUAGGUUACUUGCUGCAUCUACCUUGAUAGUAUGGAGUUGCAACCUUUAUCUCUAAAGUGUUGACAUCUUAAAGUUGCAAGCUCGAUGUUAUCUAUCUUUUACUAGCAAGUGCGCUAGGUUUUUAGUUUUUACUUCUGGUGAAUUUUUAUCAGGGGUCAAUUUAUAAAUUUAUGAUGACGCUGUUUGCGAAAACAAAUGCCUUAAAAUAUUUUAGAUACCAAAAACUUGUUUAACAAACACUACAAACGUUGUCGGCUUCAUUUAAGCUUCUUAACAUUUUUAUUAUCCUUUAAGUUCUACUGAUUUUGUUUUAUUGGAGAUCUAUGUGAACCUAUUUGCUUAUUUGAUGAAACGAUUCUAUA